CUCAAUAUAGGCUGUAGAUAGCUGAUAUCGUCGAAGGCUACAGUUGGCUUUACUUCCUCAAAAACUGUAGGUUUGCAGCCUUCGUUCAUUUUUGUCAUUUUGGGGUCCACAUGUCACUGUAAAUUAAAUUUCAUACUUUAGUUAUCUGUACUACUAUAUGUAGGAAUUUAUUUUGCUUUUACGCUGUAAAAAUUAUUUACGCAGUGUUCUAAAAAUAUUGUUUUAUAAGAAAAUAGAAUAUUUUGU
rnacentral:lncRNA from 1 species